UUGCUCGGGUGGAUUAGUGGCGAACGGGUGAGUAAUACGUGAGUAACCUGCCCUUGACUCUGGGAUAAGCCUGGGAAACUGGGUCUAAUACUGGAUACUACUUCCUGCCGCAUGGUGGGUGGUGGAAAGGGUUUUACUGGUUUUGGAUGGGCUCACGGCCUAUCAGCUUGUUGGUGGGGUAAUGGCUCACCAAGGCGACGACGGGUAGCCGGCCUGAGAGGGUGACCGGCCACACUGGGACUGAGACACGGCCCAGACUCCUACGGGAGGCAGCAGUGGGGAAUAUUGCACAAUGGGCGGAAGCCUGAUGCAGCGACGCCGCGUGAGGGAUGACGGCCUUCGGGUUGUAAACCUCUUUCAGUAGGGAAGAAGCGAGAGUGACGGUACCUGCAGAAGAAGCGCCGGCUAACUACGUGCCAGCAGCCGCGGUAAUACGUAGGGCGCAAGCGUUGUCCGGAAUUAUUGGGCGUAAAGAGCUCGUAGGCGGUUUGUCGCGUCUGCUGUGAAAGCCCGGGGCUCAACCCCGGGUCUGCAGUGGGUACGGGCAGACUAGAGUGCAGUAGGGGAGACUGGAAUUCCUGGUGUAGCGGUGAAAUGCGCAGAUAUCAGGAGGAACACCGAUGGCGAAGGCAGGUCUCUGGGCUGUUACUGACGCUGAGGAGCGAAAGCAUGGGGAGCGAACAGGAUUAGAUACCCUGGUAGUCCAUGCCGUAAACGUUGGGCACUAGGUGUGGGGGACAUUCCACGUUUCUCCGCGCCGUAGCUAAACGCAUUAGUGCCCCGCCUGGGGGAGUACGGCCGCAAGGCUAAAACUCAAAGGAAUUUGACGGGGGCCCGCACAAGCGGCG
rnacentral:rRNA from 1 species